UGAUGUUUCUAUUUCGUCAAUGUCUCGGAGCUACAUAUAUUAUAUUAUAUCGAUCAUAUAAAUAGAUAUAGAUAUAGAUUUUACAUGUCUUGGGGUCCUCUCCACAGCCACAGAAUUCAGCCGAGCAUUUGGGAGGGGAAGAACGGCCACCUAACAUGUUUCAGCUAGAUCUAGAGGAUGUCCUCCAAUCACAAACCUACCUGAAGGGUUGAGGUGGAAGAUGGUAUUGUCAUCAAGGUACUCAGCUGGGAUUUUACAUGUGUUCGGGUCUUCUCCACAGCCACAGAAUUCAGCUGACCAUUUGGGAGGGGAAGAACGACCACCUAACAUGUUUCAGAACAGAUGGUAUUGGUCUCUCAGCACCCCAAUUAGGAAUUAAUAUUCAACUUAUGGUGUUCAAUCCAGUAGGCGAGCGUGGUGAAGAAGAGGAAAUUGUUCUGGUAAACCCAAGAGUUAGCCAAUACACAAAGAAUCUGACACUAUUUAAUGAAGGUUGCCUAUCUUUCCCUGUAAUUAAUGCUGGCGUAAAGAUGACUAGGUGGAUGACUUUAAACAACAUCGUGCUAGAUGACGUUAGGAUACAAUGCUCUGAUAGAAUGUGACAUUGGGGAUGAGUUUUUAUUAUAAUUGCAUGAUGUUAUUUUAUUUUAUUUUAUCUCACUGAUUUAACAAAAUUUCUUUUGUAAACUUUGAUGGCCUUGUUUUGAGUUGAAUAUGAUUUUAAUAAAUUUUAUUUGGUAAUAGUAAAGUGAAUGUGAACC